CCUACGGGAGGCAGCAGUAGGGAAUUUUCCGCAAUGGGCGAAAGCCUGACGGAGCAACGCCGCGUGAGGGAUGAAGUUCUUCGGAUCGUAAAGUUCUGUCAGCAGGGAAGAAAGAUAAAUGUGCUAAUCAGCAAUGAAUUGACGGUACCUGACAAGGAGACACCGGCUGACUCCGUACCAAGAGACGCGGUACUACGGAGGGUUCGAGCGGUAAUAGGGAUUACUGGGCGUAAAGCGCUCGUAGGAGGGAUGUGAAGUCAAUGGGCAAAUCCGCGCGCUUAAAGUGGGAACGGACUUAGAGACUGGCAAACUGGAGUGUGUGAGAGGAGAGUGGAAGUACAGGUGUAGGAGUGAAAUGCGUAGAUAUCUGUAGGAACAUCAGUGGCGAAGGCGACUAGCUGGCACAUAACUGACGCUGAGGAGCGAAAGCGUGGGGAGCAAACAGGAUUAGAUACCCUAGUAGUC
rnacentral:rRNA from 1 species